rnacentral:rRNA from 1 species
GUUGAACGCUGGCGGCAUGCCUUACACAUGCAAGUCGAACGGCAGCACGGGAGCAAUCCUGGUGGCGAGUGGCGAACGGGUGAGUAAUACAUCGGAACGUGCCCAGUAGUGGGGGAUAACCCGGCGAAAGCCGGACUAAUACCGCAUACGACCUACGGGUGAAAGCGGGGGAUCGCAAGACCUCGCGCUAUCGGAGCGGCCGAUGUCAGAUUAGCUAGUUGGUGGGGUAAAGGCCUACCAAGGCGACGAUCUGUAGCUGGUCUGAGAGGACGACCAGCCACACUGGGACUGAGACACGGCCCAGACUCCUACGGGAGGCAGCAGUGGGGAAUUUUGGACAAUGGGCGCAAGCCUGAUCCAGCCAUGCCGCGUGCGGGAAGAAGGCCUUCGGGUUGUAAACCGCUUUUGUCAGGGAAGAAACGCUCCGGGCUAAUACCACGGAGUAAUGACGGUACCUGAAGAAUAAGCACCGGCUAACUACGUG